AGCUGUGUGGUAAACACAAAGCGAACUAUUUUUUCACCUUUUACUAAAGAAUACUGUGUGUUUGUCAUCUAAAGCAGCAUACGCUAAUUUUUGGGAAGAGCUUUCCUUCUUAUGAGAC
rnacentral:snRNA from 2 species